UGGGGAAUUUUGGACAAUGGGCGAAAGCCUGAUCCAGCAAUGCCGCGUGAGUGAAGAAGGCCUUCGGGUUGUAAAGCUCUUUUGGCGGGGACGAUAAUGACGGUACCCGCAGAAUAAGCCCCGGCUAACUUCGUGCCAGCAGCCGCGGUAAUACGAAGGGGGCUAGCGUUGUUCGGAAUUACUGGGCGUAAAGCGCACGUAGGCGGAUUUGUAAGUCAGGGGUGAAAUCCCGGGGCUCAACCCCAGAACUGCCUUUGAUACUGGCUGUCUCGAGGUCGAGAGAGGUUGGUGGAAUUCCUAGUGUAGAGGUGAAAUUCGUAGAUAUUAGGAAGAACACCAGUGGCGAAGGCGGCCAACUGGCUCGAUACUGACGCUGAGGUGCGAAAGCGUGGGGAGCAAACAGGAUUAGAUACCCCCGUAGUCCCUGAGCGGGCUGGCAAGGCGCAU
rnacentral:rRNA from 1 species